rnacentral:rRNA from 1 species
UACGGGAGGCAGCAGUGGGGAAUAUUGCACAAUGGGCGAAAGCCUGAUGCAGCUAUGCCGCGUGUAUGAAGAAGGCCUUAGGGUUGUAAAGUACUUUCAUCGGGGAGGAAAAACAAAACUAAUAAUUUUAUUUCUUGACGUUACCCGAAAAAGAAGCACCGGCUAACUCCGUGCCAGCAGCCGCGGUAAUACGGAGGGUGCUAGCGUUAAUCAGAAUUACUGGGCGUAAAGAGCACGUAGGUGGUUUUUUUAAGUCAGAUGUGAAAUCCCUGGGCUUAACCUAGGAACUGCAUUUUGAAACUGAAAUACUAGAGUAUCGUAGAGGGAGGUAGAAUUCUAGGUGUAGCGGUGAAAUGCGUAGAUAUCUGGAGGAAUACCUGUGGCGAAAGCGGCCUCCUAAACGAAUACUGACGCUGAGGUGCGAAAGCGUGGGGAGCAAACAGGGAUUAGAUACC